rnacentral:sRNA from 1 species
CCGAGGUUCAGUUCGCCUUCACGGAUCACAUUGGGCAGUGUGCGCUCGAUGGGAGCAACCCGGCUUUGAUUGGGUGGGAUAGGACCAGCAGG